rnacentral:tRNA from 1 species
AGUUUAUGAACUUGUAAUUAAGUAUAUAUUUUGAAAAUAUAAAAAAGGAAGAUAUCUCCUAUAAACUU